AAGUAACACAAGCAUUUGGAAGCCUAUUAAAAAAUGUUAUAAAAAGAAACUGGGAACAUAAUGCUGAAAUUAAGUAUGCCUUGGGAAAUGUUCAUAAGAAAUUUUUCAAAUAAAUAUUUGUAUGAAAUAGAUGUUGCGUCCGAACCAACUUUAAUAAUCAUCGAAAGUGUCAGGCAGUAUGCUACAAAUAGCAAAGGGGAUGUAUGAAUACGCGACCGGUCAAGAAAAUAUGCGAAAAGAAGUAUCUAAUUUGAGCGUGGACGAACGUUCCUUUCAAAGUGACCAGACAAAGCCCCAGUCAGUAUUUUACGAAGUUCAUCAUCAACAUUAACACCAGUAUCGCGUAAAGCUAAUAUGCGAUCAAUUUCGGCCUUGGCUUUUUGAUCAAGCAAGGGUUGUCCAGCUUCUUCAUCCAUCUCUUGCUCUGUCAUGAGCUUUGCAUAUUCUAUUUUAGUAUCAUUGGGCAAGGUAUUCACGUCUUUGGGCUCCAAAUCAGUAAAAGAGUAUAGAUAUUUAGCAAGUUCAGGAAACUCUCCAUUUGCCUCUAUAACUUGAGCUGCAAUUAAACCGUCAUUAUUUUUAACAGUGGUGUCCGCAUUGUACUGAUUUAUCAAAUCAUGAGCUAUUUCCAGUUUUUCGCAAACAAAGAGAGGUGUUUCGCCAUCUUGAUCACGAAUAUUUAUAUCUCCUCCACGUUCGACAAGAAUUUUAAGCAAAUCAGAAUGACCUGACAGUUAGCAUUAAAAAUAUUUCGCCAUAAUAUAAAUACCGUAAGAAACUGCUGCAUGUAUAGGUGUAUAUCCAUUUUCGUCUGCUGCGUUUGGUGAAAUACCAGAAUCUAGGUGUUUCUAAGGAAUAGUUAGCCAUUACUCUUUACUAAAAACAAUAUAAAUAAAUCGUACCAAUACGACGUCUGUUUUACCAUCUGAUGCGGCAAUCCAAAUAUUUGGAGUUGUUGUACUCAUCUUGGUUUAUGGUGAGUUAAACAAGAAAAGCUGCGUAAGGGGAUCAAAACAAAAAGGACCUACUACUUGGUGAUAAACCUCGGCAAUUAUUGUGAAAGAAAAUAUUAAAAAAAAAAUCUAUUCUAGGUUGCAAAAUUGAUAAAAGUUAUACUGACUACGACGUGAGCGUCACU